AAUGUGGUACAUUUACACAAUGGAGUACUAUACAGCAGAAAAAAUGACAUCUUGAAAUUUGCAGAAAAUGGAUGGUGCUAGAAUACAUCAUUUGGAGUGAAGUAACCCAGACCCAGAAAGAGAAUUAUCAUGUGUACUUACUGUUAAGUGGUUUUGAAACAUAAAACAAAGAAAAUCAGCCUAGAAAUCACAAUCCCAGAAAACCUAGACAACAAUGAUGACCCUAAGAGAGACAUACCUGGAUCUAAUCUACACUGGAAGUAGAAAAAGACAAGAUCUCCUGAGUAAAUUGGGAGCAUAGGGACCAUGGGAAAGGGUUGAAGGGGAAGAGAGAGGCAUGAAGUAGAGCUCAAUAAAAAUCAAUUAAAAAGUGGGGGAAGUACUAUAUUGAAAAAAAAAGAGUCAAUAAGUUCUGUCCCUUUUAGUGGUCCCACUACUUUUUAACAUUGGGACACUGGAAACCAGACUUCCCAUAUAUGGGCUCUUGGAGAAACAAUCCACAACCAAACCACAGCAUUCUGCACUUGACCCUCAUAGUUCACGUCGCUGUCAGAACAUGAAUGUGUUCAUUUCAUGCCAAUAGUGCCAAAGUCUUGUGUCGUUCCAACAUCACUCAGAAGUCUAAGGUCAAAGUCUCCGCUGAGGCUCAGGACAAACAACCUGGAAGUCAGUAUGAGAACUGAAAAACAAGUUGUGGCAUACUUUCAGGUACACUGCAAGGGGAGGAAAAACCUACCAAGGCAAGCAUUAAGUCCUAAAUCACCAAGAAUAAUGAUCUGUGCACACUACAGCAGGGUCACAUGAUCUUGGACAUCUCUGUUUCCAUGAUUUGGCUUGUGAGAGGCUAGGCGAUUAUCUACUUGAUUGAGCUGGCUUCCUACACUGACUACAGCUUUCAGAAGUAGGUAUGUCAUACUCUAAGUUGCUCUGCCUCUUCUUAAGUAUGACUCUCAGGGGCUGGAGAGAUGGCUCAGAGGUUAAGAGCACUGGCUGCUCUUCCAGAGGUCCUGAAUUCAAUUCCCAGCAACCACAUGGUGGCUCACAGCCAUCUGUAAUGGGAUCUGGUGCCCUCUUCUGGCCAGCAAGCAUACAGACAGAUAAAACACUGUCUUCAUGAUAAAUAAAUCUAAAAAAAAAUAAAGUAUGACUCUCAGCUUGAUUUUUAUACCUCUAACCCAUUUGAGGACAUUCUUUAGGGGCUUUAAUACUGCUGCUGACAUCUGUCUGACCCCCAAAACUUUCUUUGAAAAUGUUGUUGGAAGCACCCAUGACUCCAUCACUCUUGCAUUCUGUGAGUCUGAAAGACCAAACACCAUGUGGAUGCAUCUACCAUCUGCAUCAACUACGCUUAAGCCAAUAUGAACCAUGGUUGCUGCUGAGGAUUCAUCAGCUGGGAAGCAGGGAGCUGAAUCUCAGUAUGUCCCUUGGAUAAGACAAGAGGCAGAGCUCAGGAAUUCCCAGGGAUGGCCUCUUAUUAGGUUCUACAUCUUUCAAGGUCUCACUAUCUCUUAAUAUGAUCAGAUUUAUGGCCAAUCUUCCAAUAUACCAACUAUCAUGGAACAAAGCACAACCAAUACACAGCAUUUUAAGUUUCAAUAUAUAAUACGUAUUCCUAACAAACCCUCAAAAAGCUGUAAGUAUGGACUAAAAACAAUGAUCCUCGAACUUGAAGGAAUGGAAUAGUAGGGAUGGAGGAAGGACAGAUAUGAGAGAAAAGAAAGAGAUAUCUUGAUUGAGGAAGUCAUUAUGGAGUUAGCAAGAAUUCCAGUUCUAGAAAAAUACCCAAGAACCCACAGGGAUGUCCCCAGCUAAGACCCUAAGCAAUAGAGGAGAUGGUGUCUAAACUGGCCUUACCCUGUAGUCAGAUUGGUGGUUAUCUUAAAUAUCACCAUAGAAACUCUAACAACAAAUGGGAACAGAUCCAAUGACCCACAUAGGACACUGGACUGAGCUCCCAAGACCCAGAUGAAGAGUGGAAGGAGUGAGAUUAUGAGCAAAGAAUUCAAGACCAUGAGGGGUUCAUCCACUGAGACAGUUUGCUUGAGCUAAUGGUAGCUCACCAACUCCAACUGGACUAGGAGUGAUCAAGAAUGGGAACAACCAAGCCCCUCUGAAGAGGGUUGACAGUUGGGGCAGACUGAGGGGCCACUGAUAGUGACACUGGGAUUUGUCUCUACUGCAUGUACCAGAUUCUUGGGAUCCUAUUCCCUUUGGAUAUAAACCUUGCUCAACCUCGAUGUAGUAGGGAGGGCCUUGGACUUUCCACAGGGUGGGAUGCAUGGCCCUCUUGUAGGAUUGGAGGAUUAGAGGGUGUAGGGUGGGAGGGUCUGUAGAGGAAGAAGGAGGGGAGUGGGAGAAGAGGAGGGAGUGAGAAUUUGGGGAAAAAAACAGUUUAAAUAAGUUAAAAAUAAAAAAAAAUGAUCCUCACGUCAUAAAAAGAGGAUUGGUAAUUCAGAGACUUGAAAGUAAUACAGAUCCUUUGACAAACUCCCAGAAUGACAGAAAUACUGACUGAGCACAGAGAAUGGUUUCUUUUUAUUAUUAGUGAUUUUUAUUGAGCUCUACAUUUUUCUCUGCUCCCAUCUCUGACUCUCCCCUCCCCUUCAACCCUCUCCCAAGGUCCCCAUGCUCCCAAAUUUACUCACGAGAUCUUGUCUUUUUCUACUUCCCAUGUAGAAAGGAAGCCAGGGCAGGAACUCAAGCAGGAACUUCAGUAAAAACCAUAGAGGAAUGCUGCAGGCUGGAAGGCUCAGACUCGACCUUAGCUAGCUUUCUCAUACAGCCCAAGACCAUGUACAUGGGGAAUGAUGCUUCUCAAAACAGGUUGAACUUUACUACAUUAAUUAAUAAUCAAGACAAUCCCUGAAGAUGUACCCACAGACCAAUGUGACCUGGACAAUCUCUUUACUUGGAUCCCUUCCUCAUUUGACUCUAGGCUGUGCCAAAUUGAAACUUAAAUAUCUAUGGUAGCUUCAAUGUAAUUGGUUCCCAUAAUCUCAAAGGGAGCAAUACAAUAAGAGGUGUGGCCUUGUUGGAGUAGGUGGGAUCUCUUUAGAGGAAGUCUGUCACUGUACAGAUGGGAUUUGAAGUCUCAAAUAUGCUCAAGCCACACCCAGUGAGACAGAUCAUUUCUUGGUGUCUACAAAUCAAGAGAUAGAAAUCUUAGCGCCAUUUCCAACACCAUGUCAGCCUGAACACCACCAUGUUGCACCAUGAUGAUAGGGAACUAAAUUUUUGAAAAUGCAAGGCACCAUAAUUACAUGAUUUUCCUCUCUAAAAGUUGCCAUGUUCAUGAUGUCUCUGCACAGCAACAGAAACCCUAAUUACAACAGAUACAUUAUUGCAUAAUUUUGUUGUAUUAAAAAGUGUGGGGGUGGUGAUAUGGAGCAGUGGUAAAGACAAUUGCUGCCAAACUUAGGGACUUGAUCUGUGCCUGGGAAUCACAUGGUGAGCAUCAAGAAAUUACUCCUCAAAAUUGUCUUCUUACCUCAACAUACACCAUGGCAUAAUUGUCCAAUAAACAAGUAAAUGUAGUUUAAAGAAAAUGUAACAUGUGAUUGAUGUUUGCUGAUAUUUUUAUGGCUGAUUAUUUCUGUUUGCUAAUUAUUAAGAGAGACAUUGUCUCAAUUAAUGGUCUAGAGUUUUAACUCAUGAACCCAGUUCAUACUGGGUAAAUGACCUCUGGAUACACUUCCCUGCACUUGCUGCCUUGAUAUUAGCUGAGUUAAAGCAGAAUAGGGGGUAGAACAAAUGUUUAGUUUCAUUUUUAAACUUUGCCUCCUGAUUACUAUGGCAUGAUAUGGUGGACUUGCGAAAUGAAGACAAACUGUGACACAAAAAGGGAACUGAUGGACUUUCUGAUAAAAUUAUGGAUCGGAUGAAAGGUUUCUGGGUGGGAAAGGUCCAGAAAAAAAAGCUGGAUAGGCUAAUGGUGAAAGUGUCAAAUAGUGCGUUCGAGUCCAGCUUUUUGAUAUUGUGUGACAACACUGUCAUCUACAAAUUCCAUGCCUUCAAACAAAAUAUUGAGUUACAAGAAAUUGUAUUAUUUCUCAAAUCCAAAACUAACAAUGUUUCAAAUAAAUUUAUGAUGGGGGAACUGAA